rnacentral:rRNA from 1 species
CAAAGGAAUUGACGGGGACCCGCACAAGCAGCGGAGCGUGUGGUUUAAUUCGUUGCUACACGAAGAACCUUACCUGGGUUUGACAUAUAGGUUGUAGGGAACUGAAAGGGACCGACCCUUCGGGGAGCCUAUACAGGUGUUGCAUGGCUGUCGUCAGCUCGUGUCGUGAGAUGUUCGGUUAAGUCCGCUAACGAGCGCAACCCUCGUCGUAUGUUAUAUGUGUCAUACGAGACUGACCGGUAAAAGCCGGAGGAAGGUGAGGAUGAUGUCAAGUCAGCAUGACCUUUAUAUCCAGGGCUACACACACGCUACAAUGGUCUGUACAAUGGGUAGCCAAGCCGCGAGGCGGAGCCAAUCCUGAAAGCAGGCCUCAGUUCAGAUUGCAGUCUGCAACUCGACUGCAUGAAGCCGGAGUUGCUAGUAACCGCAGGUCAGCAAUACUGCGGUGAAUACGUUCCCGGGUCUU